ensembl:processed_transcript
GUUGCUUGGUUACGGCUUUUUGCUGCAGCCUGCCUGUUGCUGUUCGCGUGGAGCCUUUCCUGGUGCUAGUAGGAACUCUCACCACCACUACCCCUAUUCCCCUCCAGCCUUUGCUAGAGGAGAGAAGCCAGAGCCUGGAGGCCAAGUCCUUCAAUCUCCAUUACGACCCCUCCCAGCAGGGCGCGGCCUAAAGGGAUGUCAACAGGUCAGCCUUCCGUCUGUCGGAGCAGAGGCUCUCCGGAAAAGGAUACUGCUGACAUCAAAUCCACAUCCCCAAGAGGACUGCAUCAACUCUUUUGGAAACUGUCUUCCCAUCUUGAUGCCCUGCACUGUGCAGCUUCUGAAAAUGGUGUGUCCCUAUGGCAACCUCUCUGUAUUACUGUGUAAGAGAGGGUUUGUAUUUGGUUAUUUCAGUGCUGGGUGGCCCUUUCUCUGUCACACUCCCCAAAAAGUGAACCAAACCACACUCCAAGUUUAGCAAAACAUGGACAAUCAUCAGUAUCAUUUUUAUUGCAAAUUAGUUAACAAAAAAAGAUGAAAAAAUACAUCAUUUUCAUUACCUACA